rfam:Candidatus Levybacteria bacterium CG2_30_37_29 cg2_3.0_scaffold_17_c, whole genome shotgun sequence.
GCUCCCGUAGUUCAACGGAUAGAACAGACCCGUCCUAAGGGCCCAAUGUAGGUUCGAUUCCUAUCGGGGGCG